GUAAAUAUGAUGCAAUAAUACCUAACACAUAGAGGGUAUUAAAACAAAUAAAUACAUUACAUCAUAACUACAUAAAUCAGUACGAAAUUAAUAUACUAUUUUAUUGUGUUUUGUUAAAAUUCAUUUGUUUAUUUUAAAGUAUUUUUAUUGAAAUGUAUAUUGCUUUAAAGGUGUUUGUGUGCUGUUACCUUUCAUGGAGGUUGAGUGACAGGUGUAGAGAGAAAAGGGGGCGGAGUUGAGAGAAAGAAAGAAAGAGUCCGGUCUUGGCGCAGAAAGAAAGAAUCACAGCUACCGAAGGUGUCGUUUCGUCUUAAUAAGAGAGAUGUUAAUGCUAUGGUUCAUCCCCCAGAUGGUCCAUUGUUGGAUUAAGUGCUGAGAGUUCGGUAAAUAAAAAGUAAGUUUCUGCUCGGGACUUAUAAAUUGUUUUACCGAGAGCGCAGCAUCAGAGCUAAGCUAAGCUAGCAUGGUCUCUAGUGGACCGUAGGCUGGAGUUCGCUAAAUUAGCUUGACUUUGUAGCUAACCGUUACCGGACUGGAAAGCGGGAAAACAGAUCCAGAUAGCACUCUGAGCUAUCCAGGAAGCUCGGAGUACUUCUGGCGACGUGGAAGACGAGGAAAAAGUUCGCUACCGGGUAUGGACAACGCACGUGGAUUAAUAUCGGAGUUGGAGCUGUGAAACGCAAAAGUGGUGGAGUCGGUUUGGAUUACUUUUCUACAAACACAAGAAACCACAGUGGAAGGGUAAUAGCGACACGUGUAGCUCUGGAGCUGCAGGUUGCAGACCCCUGGCGUUCGCGGAGCAUAAAGCUCGUGACCCACCAACUGUAGCUUCUACAUUACAGCUACAGGCUUUUUCCAACUGCAUUUUUGUCUCCUCCUGAUUCACAACAGUUUGAAUAAAGAAAUACUCAGAAAUGUCA